UGGUAGAUGCACCUUGAUUAAAUCUUAGCCCCCGGCUUACAGCUGGGGGCCUUUAUU
rnacentral:sRNA from 1 species